rnacentral:tRNA from 1 species
AGUGGUUAAUUGUUUGGCUGCUAACCAAAAGGUUGGAAGUUCAAAUCCACCAACCACUC